GGAUGGACCUGCGGUGCAUUAGCUAGUUGGUAGGGGUAACGGCCUUACCAAGGCGAUGAAUGCAUAGCCGAGUUUGAGAGACUGAUCGGCCACAUUGGGACUGAGACACGGCCCAAACUCCUACGGGAGGCAACAGUAGGGGAAUCUUCCACAAUGGACGCAAGUCUGAUGGAGCAACGCCGCGUGAGUGAAGAAGGGUUUCGGCUCGUAAAGCUCUGUUGUUGGUGAAGAAGGACAGGGGUAGUAACUGACCUUUGUUUGACGGUAAUCAAUUAGAAAGUCACGGCUAACUACGUGCCAGCAGCCGCGGUAAAU
rnacentral:rRNA from 1 species